GGGUCAGUAGGUUGGUCGUGCCACCGGUACGUACUGGUCUCACUGAUUCCUCCCUCCUGAAGAACCGUAAUGUCAUUAAUUUGGUGUUGCGGGGAAACAGGACUGUUACUUUGAAAAAAUUAGAGUGUUUAAAGCAAGCUAACGCUUGAAUACAUUAGCAUGGAAUAAUGAAAUAGGACGAUCGAUCCUAUUUUGUUGGUCUCUAGGAUUGACGUA
rnacentral:rRNA from 1 species